UACGGGGGGGGCAAGCGUUGUUCGGAAUUACUGGGCGUAAAGGGUGCGUAGGCGGGUCUUUAAGUCAGGGGUGAAAUCCUGGAGCUCAACUCCAGAACUGCCUUUGAUACUGAAGAUCUUGAGUUCGGGAGAGGUGAGUGGAACUGCGAGUGUAGAGGUGAAAUUCGUAGAUAUUCGCAAGAACACCAGUGGCGAAGGCGGCUCACUGGCCCGAUACUGGCGCUGAGGCACGAAAGCGUGGGGAGCAAACAGG
rnacentral:rRNA from 1 species